UCUAACAUAUUUAAGCAGCAUGUUACUGCUGAAGGAACAACCUUAGUCGAACAGGCUGAAGAUGCAGCUAGCAACAAGAAGGCAGAUAAGAAGGAUGUGAUUGGUCUGCAGGAGCAGGUAACUGCAUGGCUUACUUCUAAAACUUAGGCUGGGCUGGUUUUCUUAGGUGAAAAUUAAUGUUAAUUUUGGUACCCCCAGGAUUUUGUUAGAAAUGUCAGUGAGCUUCAUGACAAAUAUCUAGCAUGUGUCAGUGACUGCUUCCAAAAUCAUACCCUUUUUC